rnacentral:ncRNA from 2 species
AGCUGAAACGGAGAUGGCAUUCCUCCAAAACCGCCGGUAUCUCCGGCUGAUGAUGCCUACGGAUUC